rnacentral:rRNA from 1 species
UUGAACGCUGGCGGCAGGCCUAACCCAUGCAAGUCGAGCGGAUGAAGGGAGCUUGCUCCUGGAUUCAGCGGCGGACGGGUGAGUAAUGCCUAGGAAUCUGCCUGGUAGUGGGGGAUAACGUCCGGAAACGGGCGCUAAUACCGCAUACGUCCUGAGGGAGAAAGAGGGGGAUCUUCGGACCUCACGCUAUCAGAUGAGCCUAGGUCGGAUUAGCUAGUUGGUGGGGUAAAGGCCUACCAAGGCGACGAUCCGUAACUGGUCUGAGAGGAUGAUCAGUCACACUGGAACUGAGACACGGUCCAGACUACUAAGGGAGGCAGCAGUGGGGAAUAUUGGACAAUGGGCGAAAGCCUGAUCCAGCCAUGCCGCGUGUGUGAAGAAGGUCUUCGGAUUGUAAAGCACUUUAAGUUGGGAGGAAGGGCAGUAAGUUAAUACCUUGCUGUUUUGACGUUACCAACAGAAUAAGCACCGGCUAACUUCGUG